CAUGCAAGUCGAACGAACUCUGGUAUUGAUUGGUGCUUGCAUCAUGAUUUACAUUUGAGUGAGUGGCGAACUGGUGAGUAACACGUGGGAAACCUGCCCAGAAGCGGGGGAUAACACCUGGAAACAGAUGCUAAUACCGCAUAACAACUUGGACCGCAUGGUCCGAGCUUGAAAGAUGGCUUCGGCUAUCACUUUUGGAUGGUCCCGCGGCGUAUUAGCUAGAUGGUGGGGUAAUGGCUCACCAUGGCAAUGAUACGUAGCCGACCUGAGAGGGUAAUCGGCCACAUUGGGACUGAGACACGGCCCAAACUCCUACGGGAGGCAGCAGUAGGGAAUCUUCCACAAUGGACGAAAGUCUGAUGGAGCAACGCCGCGUGAGUGAAGAAGGGUUUCGGCUCGUAAAACUCUGUUGUUAAAGAAGAACAUAUCUGAGAGUAACUGUUCAGGUAUUGACGGUAUUUAACCAGAAAGCCACGGCUAACUACGUGCCAGCAGCCGCGGUAAUACGUAGGUGGCAAGCGUUGUCCGGAUUUAUUGGGCGUAAAGCGAGCGCAGGCGGUUUUUUAAGUCUGAUGUGAAAGCCUUCGGCUCAACCGAAGAAGUGCAUCGGAAACUGGGAAACUUGAGUGCAGAAGAGGACAGUGGAACUCCAUGUGUAGCGGUGAAAUGCGUAGAUAUAUGGAAGAACACCAGUGGCGAAGGCGGCUGUCUGGUCUGUAACUGACGCUGAGGCUCGAAAGUAUGGGUAGCAAACAGGAUUAGAUACCCUGGUAGUCCAUACCGUAAACGAUGAAUGCUAAGUGUUGGAGGGUUUCCGCCCUUCAGUGCUGCAGCUAACGCAUUAAGCAUUCCGCCUGGGGAGUACGGCCGCAAGGCUGAAACUCAAAGGAAUUGACGGGGGCCCGCACAAGCGGUGGAGCAUGUGGUUUAAUUCGAAGCUACGCGAAGAACCUUACCAGGUCUUGACAUACUAUGCAAAUCUAAGAGAUUAGACGUUCCCUUCGGGGACAUGGAUACAGGUGGUGCAUGGUUGUCGUCAGCUCGUGUCGUGAGAUGUUGGGUUAAGUCCCGCAACGAGCGCAACCCUUAUUAUCAGUUGCCAGCAUUAAGUUGGGCACUCUGGUGAGACUGCCGGUGACAAACCGGAGGAAGGUGGGGAUGACGUCAAAUCAUCAUGCCCCUUAUGACCUGGGCUACACACGUGCUACAAUGGAUGGUACAACGAGUUGCGAACUCGCGAGAGUAAGCUAAUCUCUUAAAGCCAUUCUCAGUUCGGAUUGUAGGCUGCAACUCGCCUACAUGAAGUCGGAAUCGCUAGUAAUCGCGGAUCAGCAUGCCGCGGUGAAUACGUUCCCGGGCCUUGUACACACCGCCCGUCACACCAUGAGAGUUUGUAACACCCAAAGUCGGUGGGGUAACCUUUUAGGAACCAGCCG
rnacentral:rRNA from 1 species